AAAAAAAAUAAAAAACAAAUUAGGAAAGUCAUUUUCCUAAUUUCACUUUUUCAGUGGUUUCAUUUUAGCCAAUUCUCCCCAAAACAAUCGGAUUGAAAUUCUACGAAAAGGAAAGAAGGCACUCCUUUAGUCCUUCCUUUUACAAUCUUUUCGAUCUUUGAUUUGAUUUUGUUAUGUCGAUAGAGCUUAAACUUUCCCGAAGCAAUCGGGUGUAUCGCCCUUCUGAACCUCUUGAAGGCAAAAUCAUCGUCAAAUCUCCCUCUUUGAUCUCCCACUACGGUAUCCGACUCACUCUCAACGGAUCCGUCAAUCUCCAGGUUCGUGGAGGAUCAGCAGGAGUUAUAGAAUCUUUUUAUGGUGUUAUUAAGCCAAUACCGAUUGUGAAUAAGAAUGUUGAGGUUAAACCUUCUGGAAAGAUCGGUUCAGGUACAACAGAGAUUCCAUUUUCUCUGUAUCUCAAGAAACCAGGAGAAGAGAACUUAGAAAAAUUCUACGAGACCUUCCAUGGAGCCAAUAUUAGCAUUCAGUAUUUAUUAACUGCAGAUUUAGUGAGAGGGUACCUUCACAAAUCAUUGUCUACAACAACAGAGUUCAUAGUUGAAAGUGAUAAAGCUGAUUCUCUCGAUGGACCAAUUUCUCCUGAGAUGGUGAUCUUUUAUAUUACUCAGGACACUCAAAGACAUCCAAUACUUCCUGAAUUAAAAUCAGGUGGAUUACGGGUGACAGGAAGAAUGUCCACCCAGUGUUCUUUAUCGGAUGCCAUUACUGGUGAACUAACAAUAGAAGGGUCUGCAGUUCCCAUUUCUUCAAUUGAUGUACACUUGCUCCGCAUUGAGUCAAUUCUUCUUGGGGAAAGAAUUGUAACCGAGACAUCACUUAUCCAGACUACCCAGAUUGCAGAUGGAGAUGUGUGCCGUAAUCUGACUUUGCCCAUUUAUGUAAUACUUCCCCGCCUUUUGACUUGUCCGACAGUCAUGGCAGGGUAUGUUGCCAAUUAGACAAAUUAUUGUUCUCAAAUAUCAUUUAAUUAAGUCUGUUUAAGCUCCACACUGCCUUUUCUUCUAGUAAAUUGCACGCAAGCGCUUGCUCGAUCUGUCAACUCAAGGAGAAGCGUAACUUCUAAGCUUUGUUUUAGAUGAAACUUUCUUUGGUGCAAGUUUCCCGUCUCUGAAUUCCUCCCUCGUUACUUACCCGUUCUCCAUCGAAUUCAAAGUUUUACUAGUCAUAAGCUUUCAGUCGGAGCUGUCCAAAUUACACUC